rnacentral:rRNA from 1 species
AAGCGGAGGAAAAGAAACUAACAAGGAUUCCCCUAGUAGCGGCGAGCGAAGCGGGAAGAGCUCAAAUUUAUAAUCUGGCACCUUCGGUGUCCGAGUUGUAAUCUCUAGAAGUGUUUUCCGCGUUGGACCGCACACAAGUCUGUUGGAAUACAGCGGCAUAGUGGUGAAACCCCCGUAUAUGGUGCGGACGCCCAGCGCUUUGUGAUACACUUUCAAUGAGUCGAGUUGUUUGGGAAUGCAGCUCAAAUUGGGUGGUAAAUUCCAUCUAAAGCUAAAUAUUGGCGAGAGACCGAUAGCGAACAAGUACCGUGAGGGAAAGAUGAAAAGCACUUUGGAAAGAGAGUUAACAGUACGUGAAAUUGUUGGAAGGGAAACGCUUGAAGUCAGACUUGCUUGCCGGAGCUUGCUUCGGUUUGCAGGCCAGCAUCAGUUUUCCGGGGUGGAUAAUAACGGUUUGAAGGUAGCAGUCUCGGCUGUGUUAUAGCUUUCCGUUGGAUACAUCCUGGGGGACUGAGGAACGCAGCGUGCUUUUUGCGAAAGACUCGUCUUUUUCACGCUUAGGAUGCUGGUGGAAUGGCUUUAAACGACCCGUCUUGAA